CAGGUCUUGGACUCUCAAGUGUAUAUUAUCGACCACAAACUUAUGGUGUCUUCUGAUAACAAUGCUGAAGAGGAAGACAUGGUGAUGCCUCAUCUCUCUUCUGCUGCACUUCUGAUUUGGAAAAGCCAGCUGGUGUGGGACAACAUCGCUUCUCCUCGGCCCAUGUCCACCCAUGUCCUGGGAGCAGGCAAGGCAGGCCCAGUGGCUCAUUGAUGGUACACUUUACAGCGUGGACUACAGGCUCCCAGCUGGUGGCCAGCCUUUCUCCAUUCUCCUCUUAUCGAUCAUCCAUCCUCUCAAGAGCUGCCUUGACCAACAGAUACACAGCGUUUCGCAAAGGCUGAACUUAAUUCGGGUGGCACACUCUCUGACAUAAGCCAGUUAAUGCCAGUGUGUAAACAGCCAGUUAACUUUCUGAGUGAACACAGUAGUUUACUGGACAGGUUUGAUAAAAUCAGUCACAUCUCAGGUUUGACCUGGGCCAGUCAAACACUCUCCUGUGAGGAUUUCCUAGCAGAAGUCGCAGGUCGGGAAGUCAGUCCGAGGGCUCCAGCUAUCAUUUCCCCUGACAACUGCAGGCCAUGACAGUGACAGUCUGAGAGGGUCGCUAUUCCUGUGGGAACGACUUGGGGUGCCCACAGCUUGCACACGGGCUGAUCCUACUUUCUUCAAGAGUUCGAGUAGCCUCAGCUUUACAUGCAGCUACGUGGGCUUUGGAAACAGCGCUCCAUUGCAGCCCCGACAAUCCGAGGUGGGCAGAGCUGCACUGGUGAAUUCUGCAACAAAAUCUACAACAUAUUCUCCAAUUCUUCAUUUUAACUUAACGCUUUCACUGUUUCAUAUUUCCCAGGUGAAAAGGAGAUGAAUAUGGAAUAUUCUUGCCUUUCUUUGCUAGCUGUUUGUGGUGUUCAUCAAUGCUCUGAGCAGAGAUUUACUGAACAUGUAAUUCAAACAGAAUGAGUCCUUACUGAAAUUUUUAUCUAUAGCUCAAAUAUAUACAUGUACAGCAUAUUUCCUGAACACUAACUAUCUUUGUUUCUUGAAGAACUGUGUAUCUAAGACUUAAUUUCCUCAAUAUUUCUUCCUUUCCUGUGCCUUCCAUGUGAACUAUCA